rnacentral:rRNA from 1 species
CGUUUAGGGGUAAACUGAGAACCGAAGGUCGAAGGAAGAAAUUCAUUCGUGUGUCACUAUUGAUGGAAUUGUGUGUGUUUGACGAUAUACGGAUAUGAUUAUCGGUAACGAUGAUUGUAUGAUGUAUCUAUUGCUGCAUACCUAUUUUAAAUCUGAUAGUGAACACGUGCAUUUUUCUUCUGGUAGGACGUCGCGAUCCGUUAGGAUUAUUAUCGGUCUAUGAUUAUCUACGGUUUAUAAGAUCAUUGAUACAUGCAUAACGAAAAAUUGUGUAUGGUAAUAUUAAUGAAUCCGUUAUAUCUGGCCGAUUUACCUGACGGUAUACUGAAUGGUUAGAGGUCGCUACUAAUUUUUUUCUAGUAAGCGUUAGAGGCUUGGCAAGUGUAUCAAUGGUGAAAAGGUAUUAUCAUUAUUUAAUCACAAUGAUGAUAGUGCUUUCGGUAAUCGAUAUUUAUAUCAAUUCCGAGCCAUUGGUAUAUUGUUGGUCGAGCAUAUCUCUGACUGACCUUAUUAUUAUACAAAUAUAAAACCAAUCAGCGACGCUAUAGCUUUGGGUACUUUCAGGACCCGUCUUGAAACACGGACCAAGGAGUCUAGCAUGUUCGCAAGCCAUUGGGAAUUUUUAAACCUAUAGGCAAAAUGAAAGUGAAAACAGUUUCACAUUUCUAUUGAAAUUGGAAUUGAAGGGAAGAUGAAUAAACUUUGUUUCGUAUGAAACAUGUUGUUUCGCAUUCCCGGGGCGUUUAAAUUUCAUUUUUUUAAUUAUUUGAAAGAAUGAGAUUAUGCGCACCAAGAGUGUACACGCUGGGACCCGAAAGAUGGUGAACUAUGCCUGGUCAGGACGAAGUCAGGGGAAACCCUGAUGGAGGUCCGUAGCGAUUCUGACGUGCAAAUCGAUCGUCGGAACUGGGUAUAGGGCSAAAGACUAAUCGAACCAUC